rnacentral:rRNA from 1 species
GACGAACGCUGGCGGCGUGCUUAACACAUGCAAGUCGAACGAAAAUACCAAGCUUGCUUGGUUGAUUAGUGGCGAACGGGCGAGUAACACGUGAGUAACCUGCCCCUUACUUUUCUGGAUAACUGCUCGAAAGGGUAGCUAAUACGGGAUAUUAUGCCAAGUCUGCAUGGGUUGGUUUGGACAGGUUGUUUUUCUGGUAAGGGAUGGGCUGACGUCGUAUCAGCUAGUUGGUGGGGUAAUGGCCUACCAAGGCUACGACUGGUAGCGGGCCUGAGAGGAGGGUCAGCCACACUGGAACGGAGACGCGGUACAGACUACAAUGGGAGGGAGCAGAGGGGAAUAUAGGACAGUGGGAGCGAGCCUGAUCCAGUGCUACCGCGUCGGUGGAGAAGGCAUUCGGGUUGUAAAGCCCUCCUCUUGCGAAAGAAAAGAAGGCGGUUCAUAUUUGGCUGUGUUGACGGUACCUAGAGAAUAAGCACCGGCUAACUACGUG